CGCGUAGACAGUCUUUCAGGCUAGUAGUAACAUAGGUCUCAAAAAGACUAACUGGCCUUCCAUAUGAUACAGUCUGAUCUUGGCUCACUAAUCCCCAGCCUUUGAAAUCAUAACACUUGCAGACUAUUGGGAUCAAAGAACACAGCUCUAUCAACACAUCAUUACAGAGCCAGUGCGGUGAGACAGGCAGCAGUGGUUCUCGGCAGACAGACGGGCCGGCGGAGGUUUCAGGCAGACAGACGGGCCGGCGGAGGGCUCAGGCAGACAGAUGGGCCGGCGGAGGGGUCAGGCAGACAGACGGGCCGGCGGAGGUCCAUUCUUUCCAGGUCUACCCUCUAACCCAACGCCCCUGGGAAACUAUGCCACGCAGGGCAACCUGAAACCCAUGAUGUCAUCCUCAGGGGGGGAACACUGGCCUAACGGCAGUCAGUGAGAAAGCGUCCCAACCCCAAAAUCAACAUCACACAAUUACUGGGGUUAACUGUAUUUACAGUACAGCAGCUGGCUUGGAUUAGGAAGUCCACUGAUAGAG
ensembl:lncRNA